CUUUAUUUGAUUUCCUUCGGGAUUGAUUAUUUUGUGACUGAGUGGCGGACGGGUGAGUAACGCGUGGGUAACCUGCCUUGUACAGGGGGAUAACAGUUGGAAACGGCUGCUAAUACCGCAUAAGCGCACAGUAUCGCAUGAUGCAGUGUGAAAAACUCCGGUGGUAUAAGAUGGACCCGCGUUGGAUUAGCUAGUUGGUGAGGUAACGGCCCACCAAGGCAACGAUCCAUAGCCGACCUGAGAGGGUGACCGGCCACAUUGGGACUGAGACACGGCCCAAACUCCUACGGGAGGCAGCAGUGGGGAAUAUUGCACAAUGGGCGAAAGCCUGAUGCAGCGACGCCGCGUGAGCGAAGAAGUAUUUCGGUAUGUAAAGCUCUAUCAGCAGGGAAGAUAAUGACGGUACCUGACUAAGAAGCACCGGCUAAAUACGUGCCAGCAGCCGCGGUAAUACGUAUGGUGCAAGCGUUAUCCGGAUUUACUGGGUGUAAAGGGAGCGCAGGCGGUGCGGCAAGUCUGAUGUGAAAGCCCGGGGCUCAACCCCGGUACUGCAUUGGAAACUGUCGUACUAGAGUGUCGGAGGGGUAAGCGGAAUUCCUAGUGUAGCGGUAAAAUGCGUAG
rnacentral:rRNA from 1 species